rnacentral:rRNA from 1 species
CGCGGGAAAUUACUGCCACGUCAACGGGUUGAAAAGCUGCUCGAUGCAGGUUCGCCCUUUUUAGAGCUAUCGCAAUUUGCGGCGUUUGAAGUCUAUGACGAAGAAGUGCCCGCUGCGGGCAUUAUCGCUGGUAUCGGCCGUGUGAGCGGUGUCGAGUGCAUGAUUAUCGCCAACGACGCUACAGUUAAAGGCGGCACUUACUACCCGAUUACCGUUAAAAAACACCUCCGCGCCCAAGAUAUUGCCAGUCGUUGUCACUUGCCUUGUAUCUAUUUAGUCGACUCAGGCGGCGCCAACCUGCCCCGCCAAGAUGAAGUCUUCCCAGACCGCGACCAUUUUGGCCGUAUCUUUUAUAACCAAGCGCAAAUGUCCGCUAAAGGUAUCCCCCAAAUUGCGGUGGUGAUGGGCUUAUGUACCGCAGGCGGCGCUUAUGUGCCAGCCAUGGCGGAUGAAUCGAUUAUCGUUAAAGAACAAGGCACUAUCUUCUUAGCUGGGCCGCCGUUAGUUAAAGCCGCGACCGGUGAAGAAGUCAGCGCCGAAGAACUGGGCGGCGCCGAAGUGCACACUAAAAUUUCAGGUGUAGCGGACCACUUAGCCCAAAACGAUGAGCACGCGUUAGCGCUUGCCCGCCGUGCAGUGCUGCGUCUGAAUAAUCAAAAACAAAUCAACAGCCUGCUAAGCCCAGUUAAGCCACCUAAGUUUGAUAUCAACGAACUCUACGGCAUCGUCGGCACCGACUUGAAAAAGCCCUUCGAUGUCAAAGAAGUGAUCGCCCGUAUCGUCGAUGAUUCUGAUUUUGAUGAGUUUAAAGCCAACUAUGGCGCGACUUUGGUCUGCGGUUUUGCCCGUAUUCACGGCUAUCCAGUUGGGAUUGUCGCCAACAACGGCAUUUUAUUCUCAGAAUCGGCGCAAAAAGGCGCGCACUUUAUCGAGCUGUGUUGCCAGCGCAAAAUUCCACUGCUGUUCCUGCAAAAUAUCACCGGCUUUAUGGUGGGUAAAAAGUACGAACACGAAGGUAUCGCCAAGCACGGCGCCAAGAUGGUGACCGCAGUCUCCUGCGCCAAUGUACCUAAAUUUACUGUGAUUAUCGGUGGCAGCUACGGCGCGGGUAACUACGGUAUGUGUGGCCGCGCCUUCGAGCCGACCAUGAUGUGGAUGUGGCCCAAUGCGCGUAUAUCUGUAAUGGGUGGCGAGCAAGCCGCUGGCGUAUUAGCGACUGUACGCCGCGACGGGUUAGCCCGUAAGGGCGAAGCAUGGUCUGCUGAGGAUGAAAAGGCCUUCAAGGCACCGAUUAUUGCCCAGUACGAUAAAGAGGGUCAUCCCUACCAUGCCAGUGCCCGCCUGUGGGAUGACGGCAUUAUCGACCCUGCGCAAACCCGUGAUGUGGUGGGCCUUGCCCUGUCAGCCGCAUUAAAUGCCCCUAUCGAAGACACCCGCUUCGGCGUCUUCCGUAUGUAACGCAUCUUGCGAUGCCUUACGUAUCACUCAUAGAGGGAAUAACGAUGACGGGAAUAAAAUAAUGACUGACACACAACACCAGAACACUAGCACUCAAUCCUUAGGCAAUUUGCAGCACGCCUUAGACCAUUUGCAACAUGUAAGUUACGCGCUGAAUAACGGCGUAGGCGAGUUAAUCCUUAACCGAGCCGAAGUGCACAACGCCUUCGAUGAGGUGAUGAUUAGCGAAAUGAUCGCCGUCCUCGGUUAUUUUGCCGAGCACAAAGACUGCAAACUGUUGGUAUUAAAAGCCAAUGGCAAAAACUUCAGCGCUGGCGCCGACUUAAAUUGGAUGCGCAAACAAGCAAAGAUGGAUUUCGAUCAAAACCUCAAUGACGCCAAAGCGCUGGCUAAGCUGAUGCAGGAUUUAGAUACCUUUCCAAAACCCACUAUCGCCUUAAUCCAAGGUGCGGCCUUUGGCGGCGCGCUUGGGUUAAUCUGCGCCAGUGAUAUUGCCAUCGCCACCGAGCGUGCAAGCUUCUGCUUGAGCGAAGUCAAACUAGGGCUGAUCCCUGCGGUAAUUAGCCCCUACGUUGCUCGCGCCAUGGGCAAUCGCGCCUCACGCCGCUAUAUGCUGACCGCAGAGCGUUUUGAUGCGCCAACGGCGCUCAAACUCAAUGUUAUCCAUGAGAUAAACGACGAUUUAGCGGCCGCAGCGCAGCCGAUUAUCACCGCGCUGCUGGCCAACAGUCCGCAAGGAAUGGCAUGGGUAAAGACCCUACUCGCCCGCCUCGAAGACGGCGUGAUAGACCAAGAUACGAUUGAUUACACCAGUGAGCGCAUCGCCCGCAUUCGGGUAUCUGAUGAAGGCCAAGAGGGCUUAAACGCCUUUUUUGAGAAACGUCAGCCGAACUGGCACACGCCAACCGAUACCCAAGGAGCACUUUAAUGUUGACCAAGCAGAUGUUGACUAACAGCAUGUUCACUAAGCUUUUAAUUGCUAACCGUGGUGAAAUUGCCUGCCGUAUUAUCAAAACCGCGCAGGCCAUGGGCGUUCGCACCGUUGCCUUAUAUUCCGAUGCCGAUAAAAAUGCGCGCCAUGUUGCCAUGGCCGACGAAUCGUUUUACUUAGGUGGCAGCGCUCCAGCGGAUUCUUACCUGAAGGGCGACUUGAUUAUUGAAAUCGCCAAAAAAGCCCAGGCGCAAGCCAUUCACCCAGGCUAUGGCUUUUUAUCGGAAAACGCCGACUUUGCCCGCAAGUGUGAGGCCGCCGGAAUCGUGUUUGUUGGCCCAGGCAGCGAGGCCAUCGAUGCCAUGGGCAGCAAGAGCGCAGCCAAAGCCAUUAUGACGGCAGCCCAAGUGCCUUUAGUGCCAGGUUACCAUGGCGACGAUCAAACCGAUGCCACCCUCAAGGCCGAAGCCUUAAAAAUCGGCUUCCCGAUGCUGAUAAAA